rnacentral:rRNA from 1 species
GCUUUUGGAGCNCCGAUGUCUGAUUAGCUAGUUGGUAGGGUAAUGGCUUACCAAGGCGACGAUCAGUAGUUGGUCUGAGAGGACGGCCAGCCACACUGGGACUGAGACACGGCCCAGACUCCUACGGGAGGCAGCAGUGGGGAAUUUUGGACAAUGGGCGCAAGCCUGAUCCAGCAAUGCCGCGUGAGUGAAGAAGGCCUUCGGGUUGUAAAGCUCUUUCAGUUGAGAAGAAAAAGUCGUGACUAAUAAUCAUGAUCCAUGACGGUAUCAACAGAAGAAGCACCGGCUAACUACGUGCCAGCAGCCGCGGUAAUACGUAGGGUGCAAGCGUUAAUCGGAAUUACUGGGCGUAAAGGGUGCGCAGGCGGUUCUGUAAGUCAGAUGUGAAAUCCCCGGGCUUAACCUGGGAACUGCGUUU